rfam:Arabis alpina cultivar Pajares scaff_53302_1_contig_0, whole genome shotgun sequence.
AAACCAUUUCAGUGGAUCCCUUGGCUCGUGGGUCGAUGAAGAACGCAGCUAAUUGCGCGUUGCCAUGUGA